rnacentral:rRNA from 1 species
UACAGAGGUCUCAAGCGUUGUUUCGGAUUCAUUUGGGCGUAAAGGGUGCGUAGGCGGCGCGGUAAGUCGGAUGUGAAAUCUCGGAGCUUAACUCCGAAACUGCAUUCGAUACUGCCGUGCUUGAGGACUGGAGAGGAGACUGGAAUUUACGGUGUAGCGGUGAAAUGCGUAGAUAUCGUAAGGAAGACCAGUGGCGAAGGCGGGUCUCUGGACAGUUCCUGACGCUGAGGCACGAAGGUCAGGGGAGCAAACGGG